UCCUCCUUAGCUCAGUCGGUAGAGCAACGGACUGUUAAUCCGGCGGUCGUAGGUUCAAGUCCUACAGGGGGAGCCA
rnacentral:tRNA from 1 species